UACGAAGGGGGCUAGCGUUGUUCGGAAUCACUGGGCGUAAAGCGCACGUAGGCGGAUCUUUAAGUCAGGGGUGAAAUCCCGAGGCUCAACCUCGGAACUGCCUUUGAUACUGGGAAUCUUGAGUAUGGUAGAGGUUGGUGGAACAGCAAGUGUAGAGGUGAAAUUCGUAGAUAUUUGCUAGAACACCAGUGGCGAAGGCGGCCAACUGGACCAUAACUGACGCUGAGGUGCGAAAGCGUGGGGAGCAAACAGG
rnacentral:rRNA from 1 species